rnacentral:lncRNA from 10 species
UUUAAAGACCCACAGAGAAGAAGUGAAUUUGUGUUGAGCCGGAAGUAGAACUUUUGACUUGUAGAGAUUGGCCAAAUCUUAUCUGGUGCUUUGUAGAGCCUACAGAAGACCUGUUUCCUGCUCUACAAGAAGGAAUGGGGGUACUGAUAUUUAGGAUGAAUCUGCUCUAUAUCAGAUGCUUUUUCCACGUUUCCUAUAUUCUCAGGUGGCUUCAUUGCGCCAGACAGCCCCACCGUAGCCUGGGCCCUGAGCUUCUGCCUACCAGGCUGUCAGCAACAUCUCAGCAACAGGCUCCAGCCAGUUGGCACAUACCUGGCUCAGCUCUACAGGUAGCAGUGAUGCUUUUAGGACCUCGUUUGUUAUUUUUCAGACCUAACCUCAUUGCUCUGCACUUCAGGGGCUGAAAUGCAACUCCCUGUGGGGCCCAAGGGGACUUUUGGCCUCUCUGCAGCCUGCUGGUCCCUGGAGGAUCUACCUCGUGCUGCUCACCCAAACCCUGCACGGCUGGCAAAUCCCUUCUGGGUUUUGUUUGAGGCACCAGAGGCUCCCCUGAGGCAUUGAAUUCUGAUUUUAUUGUUGCUGUUGCUGUUGAUGUUUGUGUCCAUACAUUUUGCAACUUCCCACAAACUUGUACAUCCAAAUGCUUUGCCCUGUUGUCCUUGUUAAAAGGAUAAUUUUUAAAAGGCACAGUCAUGAUUG